rnacentral:rRNA from 1 species
AGAGUUUGAUCAUGGCUCAGAAUCAACGCUGGCGGCGUGCCUAACACAUGCAAGUCGCACGAGAAAGUGGAGCAAUCCAUGAGUAAAGUGGCGCACGGGUGAGUAACACGUGAAUAAUCUACCUCCGAGUGGGGAAUAACUGAGAGAAAUCUUAGCUAAUACCGCAUAACACUUACGAGUCAAAGCAGCAAUGCGCUUGGAGAGGAGUUCGCGGCCGAUUAGUUAGUUGGCGGGGUAAUGGCCCACCAAGACGAUGAUCGGUAUCCGGCCUGAGAGGGCGCACGGACACACUGGAACUGAAACACGGUCCAGACUCCUACGGGAGGCAGCAGUGGGGAAUUUUGCGCAAUGGGGGAAACCCUGACGCAGCAACGCCGCGUGGAGGAUGAAAUCCCUUGGGAUGUAAACUCCUUUCGAUAGGGAAGAUAAUGACGGUACCUAUAGAAGAAGCCCCGGCUAACUUCGUGCCAGCAGCCGCGGUAAUACGAGGGGGGCAAGCGUUGUUCGGAAUUAUUGGGCGUAAAGGGUGCGUAGGCGGUUUGACAAGUCUGAUGUGAAAUCUAUGGGCUCAACCCAUAGUCUGCAUUAGAAACUGUCGGGCUUGAGUAUGGGAGAGGUGAGUGGAAUUUCCGGUGUAGCGGUGAAAUGCGUAGAUAUCGGAAGGAACACCUGUGGCGAAAGCGGCUCACUGGACCAUUACUGACGCUGAUGCACGAAAGCUAGGGGAGCAAACAGGAUUAGAUACCCUAGUAGUCC